rnacentral:rRNA from 1 species
AAUGAACGCUGGCGGCAGGCCUAAAACAUGCAAGUCGAACGCCCUAGCAAUAGGGAGUGGCGCACGGGUGAGUAACAUGUGGGAAUAUGCCUUUUGGUACGGAACAACGUUUGGAAACGAACGCUAAUACCGUAUGGUCCCUCAGGGGUAAAGCUUUAUCGCCAAAAGAUUAGCCCGAACUAGAUUAGAUAGUUGGUAAGGUAAUGGCUUACCAAGGCGACGAUCUAUAGCUGUUCUGAGAGGAAGAUCAGCCACACUGGGACUGAGACACGGCCCAGACUCCUACGGGAGGCAGCAGUUAGGAAUAUUGGACAAUGGGCGCAAGCCUGAUCCAGCCAUGCCGCGUGAGUGAUGAAGGCCUUCGGGUUGUAAAGCUCUUUAGCCGACGAAUAUAAUGACUGUAGUCGGAGAAUAAGCCCCGGCUAACUUCGUGCCAGCAGCCGCGGUAAAAC